ACGGCAUAUGGAAGUUCCCAGGCUAGGGGUCUAAUUGGAGCUGUAGCUGCCAGUCUACGCCAGAGCCACAGCAACACGGGAUCCCAGCUGCGUCUGCGACCUACACCACAGCUCACGGCAAUGCCGGAUCGUCAACCCACUGAGCAAGGCCAGGGAUUGAACCUGCAACCUCAUGGUUCCUAGUCGGAUUCAUUAACCACUGCACCAUGACAGGAACUCCUUCAGGGGUUCCCACUGGUCCAUCCAACCUCCAUUAGCGUGGCAUUAAGACUUUUUUUUUUGGUCUUUUUAGGGCUGUACCUGCAGCAAGUGAAGAUCAGGCGAGGGGUUGAAUUAGAGCUAAAGCUGCCAGCCUAUGCUGCAGCUUGUGGCAACAGACAAUCCUUAAUCCACUGAGUGAGGCCAGGGAUGGAACCUGCAUCCUCAUGAAUACUCGUUCCUAACCCACUGAGCCAAAAUGGCAACUCCUGGCAUUAAGACUUUUGUUUCAACUCCAUCAAUGUCCAUUUUAUUCAUCCUAUUUUUAACUGUUUGAAGAUUUCUAUACCUUUUUUUUCGUCUUUUUAGGGCCGCACCCAGGGCAUAUGGAGGUUCCCAGUCUAGGGGUCAAAUCAGAGCUGAAGCCACUGGCCUAGGCCACAGCCACAGUAACUUGGGAUCUGAUCUGCAUCUGCGACCUACACCACAGCUCAUGGCAACACCAGAUCCUUAACCCACUGAGCAAGGCCAGGGAUUGACCCCUCGUCCUCAUGGACACUAGUCAGGUUCAUUAACCACUGAGCCAUGACGGGAACUCCAAUUUCUAUACUUCUAAGGAAAGUCCCUUGAUUUUCCCAUUCCCUUGUGAAUUUUUCUCAUUUUUAAUGUAUCUCUAAGACCCAUAAGAGGAAGUUGAUGACAUUGACCCAUAUAAUGGGACAGAUCCAUCACACUAUACACCUUUAUUUCAACAGUUUCUCAGUUUUGCCUCCCUGCCACCUGGACGAUCUUCUUGGUGACCAGAAGCCUUAGAAGUGCUUGUUAUGUGUUGUUCCAACAUAAUUUUUUCCCUUUGGUGGUGUCCCUGAGGCUAGUAGCCACAGUUCAGAUCAGCUGAGACACACACUUGUCACAGCAUCAGGUUCCCAAUUCAACACCCUCCUUUAUUUUCAUUUUAGCUAUUCAGACAAUAAUAACCAAGGAACUGUGUAUUUAACUUGCUUCUCAUUGUUUUGAAUUUUCUUAUGUAUUUAAUAAGCCAACUUCUCAGGCAUUGGGGCUAUCGGUUCUAAAUUCCAUCAGCAACAUUUACCUCUAGUAAUUGAUCACAGCAUAGCCACUGUUUCAUACCAUAGGUAUCAAAGGCAUCAACCCCAUUUCUUCAGCCUUCUUCCUCCCAAAGAAUGCUCUCAUAGUGUUUCAAUAAGUCAGGAUUGCUACAGCCCAAGUCUACUUCUGCCACUAAUUGCGUCCUUACAGUUGUCCUCUCUCAGUGGAGCUGCGUGAACAGCACUUAAUUACUCCUGCAAUGAUGAGUGACAAGUGUAAAGUGCAGCCAGUCAGGGAAGCUUAGCAGAGCCUUGGUGUCUGGGAAUUUUAUUGAAUGCCUGUCUUGUAAGCAAUGGAGCAUAUUAGUUAUUCAGUCUUCAGCCCCUCAAGAGAUCAGACUGAAAGCAUAACCCAGAGCACCAGACAAACAAAUAU
rnacentral:lncRNA from 1 species